rnacentral:rRNA from 1 species
GACGAACGCUGGCGGCGUGCCUAAUACAUGCAAGUCGAACGCUUCUUUCCUCCCGAGUGCUUGCACUCAAUUGGAAAGAGGAGUGGCGGACGGGUGAGUAACACGUGGGUAACCUACCCAUCAGAGGGGGAUGACACUUGGAAACAGGUGCUAAUACCGCAUAACAGUUUAUGCCGCAUGGCAUAAGAGUGAAAGGCGCUUUCGGGUGUCGCUGAUGGAUGGACCCGCGGUGCAUUAGCUAGCUGGUGAGGUAACGGCUCACCAAGGCCACGAUGCAUAGCCGACCUGAGAGGGUGAUCGGCCACACUGGGACUGAGACACGGCCCAGACUCCUACGGGAGGCAGCAGUAGGGAAUCUUCGGCAAUGGACGAAAGUCUGACCGAGCAACGCCGCGUGAGUGAAGAAGGUUUUCGGAUCGUAAAACUCUGUUGUUAGAGAAGAACAAGGACGUUAGUAACUGAACGUCCCCUGACGGUAUCUAACCAGAAAGCCACGGCUAACUACGUG